rnacentral:rRNA from 1 species
UGACCGAGCAACGCCGCGUGGGUGAUGAAGGAUUGUGGUCUGUAAAACCCUUUUAUCAGGGACGAAUUUUGACGGUACCUGAUGAAUAAGGAUCGGCUAAUUCCGUGCCAGCAGCCGCGGUAAUACGGGGGAUCCGAGCGUUAUUCGGAAUUAUUGGGCGUAAAGCGUACGUAGGUGGUUUGCCAAGUCUGGGGUUAAAGCCCGCAGCUCAACUGCGGAUCAGCCUUGGAAACUGGCAGACUCGAGUACAGAAGGGGUAAGGGGAAUUCCACAUGUAGCGGUGAAAUGCGUAGAUAUGUGGAGGAACACCUGUGGCGAAAGCGCCUUACUGGUCUGUAACUGACGCUGAGGUACGAAAGCUAGGGGAGCA